AUUGAACGCUGGCGGAAUGCUUUACACAUGCAAGUCGAUCGGCAGCGCGGGGCAACCUGGCGGCGAGCGGCGAACGGGUGAGUAAUGCAUCGGAACAUGUCCAUGGAUGGGGGAUAGCCCGGCGAAAGCCGGAUUAAUACCGCAUGAGCCCGAGAGGGGAAAGUGGGGGACCGCAAGGCCUCACGUCGAUGGGUUGGCCGGUGCCCGAUUAGCUAGUUGGUGAGGUAAUGGCUCACCAAGGCGAUGAUCGGUAGCUGGUCUGAGAGGAUGAUCAGCCACACUGGGACUGGGACACGGCCCAGACUCCUACGGGAGGCAGCAGUGGGGAAUUUUGGACAAUGGGGGCAACCCUGAUCCAGCCAUUCCGCGUGAGUGAAGAAGGCCUUCGGGUUGUAAAGCUCUUUUGUCCGGAGCGAAACGGGGCGCGUGAAUAUCGCGCUCUACUGACGGUACCGGAAGAAUAAGCACCGGCUAACUACGUGCCAGCCGCCGCAGUAA
rnacentral:rRNA from 1 species